CUCUAUGUUUGGCUCUAACAUUUAAACUCGCGGAGUUAGCGUUUUUCAACUCAUGAUUUUGAAAUGUUUGACCACUCUACAUGGAUUAUUGUUAUGAAAAUUGAUGAAAAAAAAUGUGUACACACACUCGCAAAAAUACGGAGGCUUAAACACCUUUUUUCUGGUCAAACCCGCUUUUCCCUGUCUGCAAAAAAAUUAAAAUUAAAUGUGCCUAGCUUCAAUAUCUUUGAUACUUUGAACAAUUACGUAGGUAUUUCUACAGGAUAACUUUGAACUUUGAAAUUCAGUCUAUUUUAAAAAUUUGUUUUUUCAACUCAUUUCAUGAGUGACGCUUUCAUCUAAUUCGGGCUCUUGUUUUUCCGUUUUUCCGAUUUUCGACUCUUCAGCAUAUGUAGUGCGCAUCAAAACGUAUGCACGCGCGCAGAUGGUCGUUAACUCCAAUUUUUCACUAACCCUAAUGGAUCAUAUAAAACAUGUAUGGUAUGUUUAUAGGCACGUCGUUUACCUACGGAUUACGUUCAGCGUAGGAUUUCGGGAAAAUUUGCAUUGAGCGUUUAUCUUUGUUUCCAUAUCAUUUCGGGUUCCGCUCAGUCAUUUCACCUACGAGUAUACGCAACUUUGUAGCGUCAUUCUCAUUUUGGGGGUACCCGACUCCGGAGCGUUAUACUCUUUUAUUGUUACUGGACUGCUUUUCUCGUUUACUUAACUGAGCACAUAUGGCUGUAAAAACUCUGGUGGUGCGUCCUGGCCCUGGUAGUCAAAUUUAGUCCCUUGGUUUGCCAAGUUUAUUUGAAUGAAUUCUCUGUUCAGUGAAUCAGCCUGACGUCAGGCUGUAUUGGUUGACCGAAGGUAUUUCAUCGCACGUAGGACCAUCCGAUUCAUUUGUGCUUAGUUCUUCGGUGCAUGUCGUUUCGUUUCAACAUGAUGUUCUUCAGUCCAGUUUGUCCGUUUGAGAAUGUCGUUGUGGCGCUACAAUUAACGAUAUUUCAUUUCAGCUUGGUUUCGACUGCCCCCUUUUCACUAAGCGAAUAUUUCAUGGACGACUACUUUAGUAAUUGGCCUGGCGGACGGCCGAAAUUGCCAGCUUUGGUUCCGGACCACGUUGAUAAAUGGUACGGCACCCCACCUGUAACAACAACCGAUCCUCCAGACGAUGCCAUGAACAGACAACUGAAAGUCAGCGGCGUCAUCAUAUGGAAUAAAAACCCUUGCGAGCUUUACGAGGCAGGCUCCGAUAAAACACGCAAUAGAGGUAGGCGGAAAGGAUGCGCCAACGCUGCAGGGCACCUGUGGGAUGCAGGCUUCCAGAAGGGAAGUUCCGACAUCUGCCCGGACAUACAAGGUGCAGAAUGCUUCCAGUUUGUGAACCAUACGAAACCAGGGCGGUGCUACGCUAAAGUGCGAUACUUCAACGGCGCCAGGGGCUACGUCUUGCUUUAUACUUGCGCCCAAGAUUGGGCAAGGGUACAAACCACCAGAUUCCGCAACCCUUACGGCUUCAACGCCCAGGGACAGAGGCCAUUCGGACAGGGGGAGACUGGUGCAGCCACAAAUCCCGGUUGAAUGAACAAACGCUUCAACCCUUUUCAUUAGAUUUUUAUUUUGUUUCUUUUCUAUGUUUCAAUUCAGAUCCAGGAUGGUAAUCAGGGUGUCUACCGGUCCUCAAAAGUCCCCAAUGUCCCCGAUUAUCCACGAAAUUCCCUAUUUUUCUCGCUCAGGUCCCCAAAAAAUGACAAACAUCGUCCUAAACACCGGCAUUUUCAAAUUUUCCCGUCAGCCGCGGCGGCGCGGUAUAACCAAGAAUAAAAAACUGAAGUUUUGCUUGGUUUUUCCUAUGUUUUCAUCGGUUCAACAUGACUUGUAAAAUUAGUCGUAUAAAAUACGCCUUUAAACGCUCUAACUAGCUCCCUUCACUAUUUCGGGGGGAAAAGUCCCCGAUUUUCUUGAAAAAAAACUCCCCUAAAAGUCCCCGAAAGUCGCCAAUUUUGGUUUUUCAUAACUGGUAGACACCCUGGUAAUAUGUAUUCCCUCGUCACGAAUUUGUUGUGUCUUUAGCACACAUUACAACCAUAUCCAUGUAAAAAAAACACACACACAAUAAAAUGGGUAAACUAGGCUAAAAUAUGUUUUCUCCUUUUGGACUGUCAUAAUAGACCAUUAGACAGAAUCAGAAGUCAAAUAUAGGAAUCCAUAUUUUCUCACUGAAAUUACAAGUACAACCACAGUGUGGUCAGAGAGAUGUUGUACACAUAGUGUCCCGAAGUUAAUGCACCUUACCUCGGGGAUCGAUUUCUAGGGUCAAAAUAAUACUUUUUUUCUGACUAAUUUUUUUUUUGAAAACUAUUGUUGGCGACACUAAACCUCAUCAAAGUUGAGGAUUUUCUUCCGAAAUGUGUCCAAAAAACUGUUUCAAAGCGUCAAAUGUCAAUGAAAAUUGUGAGCUUUGGGCCAUUUUUAGCGUUAUUUUCAUUUUUUGUGGUUUCCAAUGUCUACGAUUUCCCAGAAAUUUGCACAUAAAAAUGGGUGUAACUUUUGAACCAAUUAAAAUUUUCAAAACCAACUACACCACUCGAAAGCCCACAAAAUACCAAUGGAAAAAAUUUUUGGUAAGUUUUACGAAAACUUGGUAGGAAAGCUCGGAAUCGCGAAGUAAAAAACGAUCGUCCUCUAAAAGUUCCUGGGAGAUGGCCAAUACCAAUCAGCCACACCCACGUGCGCUGCGGUUGCUUAUACCUUCACGGGUGAAUUUACUUUCCUGAUCAGUAACUAAAUGUCGCAGCAAAAGUCCCCGUUUUAGUCGCAAAAACCUUUUUCGCUUCUAAAAAAAUGUUGCCAAAGUAAAUCACGCUGCCCCAUGCGAUUUAUAUAUCUUAAAAUUUCCAGGUAGGUAAAGUUAGAACAUUGGUCAAAUUACCAUUUUUAUCAAUCAUACAAGAUGAAAUAACGAUAACUUAAAUCUUAAAAAUUUGUAAUAAUUCAUUUUAUUUGAAUUUAAUAACUGUCCACAAAAAUAAGAAAUGUUUCAACGGAAAGGUUACGAAUCUGCCGAUGAUUGGAACUGCAACAAUAUUAUGAAGUAAGUUGUGGUUACGCCGCAAAUCUGAAAGCAAAGCGAACGAAAAAACGUGAACUGCAUUGAGCUUGAAAUAGUCGGUCUCGAAUUUUAGUCGGACACAAGAGGUGGAUAUGCAUAGAUGAAGCAUGAGCAUGUAACCGAGGUAUUUUCGGUGAAGUCUCUCGCGUAAUUUUGAGUCCUCGCUCGUUCUUCUCUGAAUACUUUCUGCAAGACUUUAAAGGCGGGCUCCAAUUUUUCCACUCUUAUACUUCUUAAACCAGCCAAGCUCUUUUUCGAUUUAAAAAAUAAAGAUAUUUAAAAAAUAAGAUAUUUAUAACCAAACGGUUUUUACCUUUUUUAACAAGUUCCGGUCAAUGGAAAAAAGACGGCAAGCUGUAAACGCAACUGGUUGGGAAUUUAUCUGAUAGAUGAACCGUUUUGUCUAGAAUCAAAAAUGGUUACAUUUUAUAAACUUAAGUCUCACGAUUUGUCACUGAAAAUCUUCUUAUCACCGCAAUCUCUACAAUAUUGCGCUCUCUGCAACUAUAGUGUCUGCGCAUUUAUGAGAGUUUAUUUUAGCUCUAUUUGUUGGAUGAUUUAUGCACAUUUUGAAUUACGUGUUCUAGUACCGCAACUGAAGUUGUGAUAGCACCACAAUAUGUAGGUUAGUAACCGAUUUUAUUUGGGUACUUCCACAAUUAAUUGGGGUGCUACCACAAUUAAUUAGAAAUGUCUCUCUUUUUCUCUUUGAUGUCACUCUUUUGUUUCCGUGAUAGAAUCAAGGUAAAAUUCUGCCACGGAUAUAAGUGCCCCUCAAAAGUGUUUUUUACUGAGAGGUUGUUAAGUUCAAAGAAUCCUCGUUAAAAUAAAUCAGCAUUGAUGGUUUUAAAAUUAUACAUAAUGUUGAUUCAAGUUAUUAUGCAGCUGAAUAUGAUUAUUUUGAGCACUAAUUGUAAGCUUCUGAAGCAAGAAGAUCGGCAUAAAGAACGAUCUUUAACAGGGCCGGAUUAAGGGGGUGGCCACAUGGGCCGCGGCCCAUGGCGGCAAAUCUAUAGGGGGCGGCAAAUCUUGCAAUUUUUUUAAAUGUAGGUAUAAAAAAAAUUACAAACGAGGAAAGGCGACAAAAUCUCUAAUUUUCUGAGAGGAAAGUAAUUUCU
rnacentral:lncRNA from 1 species